UCAUUUAGAGAAAGUAAAAGUUCGUAACAAGGUUUCCGUAGGUGAACUGCGGAAGGAUCAUU
rnacentral:rRNA from 1 species